GACUCCUUCGGGUUAUAUGGUCAAGCGAUGAAGCGCACACGGUGGAUGCCUAGGCAGCCAGAGGCGAUGAAGGACGUGGAAGCCUGCGAUAAGGCUCG
rnacentral:rRNA from 1 species